GGUUUUAGUGGCGAACGGGUGAGUAACACGUAAGCAACCUACCCUAAAGACGAGGAUAACCAUUGGAAACAGUGGCUAAGACUGGAUAGGAAGAUAAAAGGCAUCUUUUAUCUUUUAAAAGACCUAGUAAUAGGUAUGCUUUAGGAGGGGCUUGCGCCAUAUUAGUUAGUUGGUAGGGUAAUGGCCUACCAAGACGAUGAUGUGUAGCUGGACUGAGAGGUUGAACAGCCACAUUGGGACUGAGACACGGCCCAAACUCCUACGGGAGGCAGCAGUAGGGAAUUUUCGGCAAUGGAGGAAACUCUGACCGAGCAACGCCGCGUGAAUGACGAAGUACUUCGGUAUGUAAAGUUCUUUUAUCAAGGAAGAAAAGCAAAUGGCGAACCAUUUGUUUGCCGGUACUUGAUGAAUAAGCCCCGGCUAAUUAUGUGCCAGCAGCCGCGGUAAGACAUAAGGGGCAAGUGUUAUCCGGAAUUAUUGGGCGUAAAGGGUGCGUAGGCGGUCUAGUAAGUCAGUGGUGUAAUGGCAACGCUUAACGUUGUCCGGCUAUUGAAACUGCUAAACUUGAGUUAGAUAGAGGCGAGUGGAAUUCCAUGUGUAGCGGUAAAAUGCGUAAAUAUAUGGAGGAACACCAGAGGCGUAGGCGGCUCGCUGGGUCUUAACUGACGCUGAGGCACGAAAGCGUGGGGAGCAAACAGGAUUAGAUACCCUGGUAGUCCACGCCGUAAACGAUGAGUACUAAGUGUCGGGUUAAACCGGUACUGAAGUUAACACAUUAAGUACUCCGCCUGAGUAGUACGUACGCAAGUAUGAAACUUAAAGGAAUUGACGGGACUCCGCACAAGCGGUGGAUCAUGUUGUUUAAUUCGAAGAUACCCGAAAAACCUUACCAGGUCUUGACAUGUUUUUGCAAAAUGAUAGUAAUAUCGUGGAGGUUACCAGAAACACAGGUGGUGCAUGGUUGUCGUCAGCUCGUGUCGUGAGAUGUUAGGUUAAGUCCUAAAACGAGCGAAACCCUUAUCGUUAGUUGCCAGCACGUUAUGGUGGGGACUUUAACGAGACUGCCAAUGAUAAAUUGGAGGAAGGUGAGGAUCACGUCAAAUCAGCAUGCCCCUUAUGACCUGGGCUACAAACGUGAUACAAUGGCUGUUACAAAGGGUAGCUGAAACGCAAGUUCUUGGCCAAUCCCCAAAAACAGUCCCAGUCCGGAUUGAAGUCUGCAACUCGACUUCAUGAAGUUGGAAUCGCUAGUAAUCGCGAAUCAGCAUGUCGCGGUGAAUACGUUCUCGGGGUUUGUACACACCGCCCGUCAAACCACGAAAGUUGGCAAUACCCCAAAACGGUAGCCUAACUCGUUUAUUCGAGAGGGCGCCGUCUAAGGUAGGGUCGAUGAUUGGGGUUAAGUCGUAACAAGGUAUCCCUACCGGAAGGUGGGGAUGGAUCA
rnacentral:rRNA from 2 species